rnacentral:rRNA from 1 species
AUGGCGGAUUACGCCCCUCCCCCGGAGGACCAGGCGCUGGAGCUGGGGCUCUACCUCGCGCUCGCUCUGCCCGGAGGCCUCGUCGCCUGGGUUCCCGCCAAGGCGCGCGCCGUCGCCAGGUGGCUAUCCGGGGGCCGGCGCGCUGCUCCGGAGGCGGACGGAGCCGAUCCGAUCCGGGGGGUUCCUCCCGGCCGCACCCCGAGCCUCCUCGACCGCGCCGAGGUGGCCGCGGUGAGCGCCGCCCUCUGCGUCGCCCUCGUCGCCGGGAUCCACCCGAUCCCCUCUCUCGUGCAGCGCCGAGCGGACUCGUCGGACUCCGACGAGGAGGAGGUGCAGAGCGGACACCACAGCGACCGGCACGUCUGGUACCCACCCAUAGAGUCCCUCCAAGCAGGGGAUCGCCGUCUCUUCUUCCCCGGCUUGACUGCCUCGGCCCGACAGCUUCCCGACGCUCGACAAGGCGACGACCUUCUGCACAGACUGUCAGAUGUAGAGAACCCGUUGAUCCUCACGCCAAGCACAGAACGGUUUUCAGGUCCAUGUGAGUUGACCAAUGAAACAACAAGGACUUGGGUCAUGAGGCUCAAAAUUACUACCAAACUUGUUUGUUUAUGUAAGCGGCAAUUACAUGAGCAGAAUCAGGAAUUGGCUGAAGAAUGCUUUGCAGUGGUAGCCAAGCAAUCUGUAGAGCAGAUCCUUGAGGUUGCAUGUUCAUUCACUGAUGCAACUUGGUCUGAUGCCCACAUUUCUCAACAACUGACUGUUUUUGACACAGUUGUUGAUGUCCUAUUCAAUGUACAAGGCCUGCGUUUCAGCGGGUCUGGUGAGGUUGCUGGUAUUAUCAAUAAGAUGGUGAAUGCUUUCAAAGGAGUAAUUCAGAGGACUUCAAAUGACAUCCGUAGCAACAAGGAAUCUAUUAUUCAUCCUGCAACUUUUAUUCUCAUACAAGUCCUGGAAUUUUUCCGCCGUAACAGAGAUAUGAUCCAGUCAAUACUUGAAUCUGGAGGUUACAACACUGGCCCAUGCUCUGACAUGUUAGAUUGUUUGGUAUCUAAGCUCAAGUGGGCAGAAAAAAGUUUCCAAAAAAAGGGGCAAAGGUGCAUAUUCUUCUUGAAUAACAUAAAUUAUGUUUUGCAAAAGAAUUGCCAUUCAGGGUUACUCCCUCCCAAUGUAGAGAGUAAUUUAGUUUCACUGAUUGACCAGUACAUCGUGAGCUACCUUGAGAAAUACUGGGUUCCACUCCUGAGAUAUUUGGAUGGGGAUUCUCUGAGGAAGCCACGCCGUUUGUCCUUGGAUAAAUUUACUGGAGAGUUCUUUACUAUCUGUUAUAGCCAGAUGACUUGGAAGGUUCAGACUGUGCUCAAGGGGAGACUGCGUCAAGAGAUAGUGGAUUUGAUUGUUCCAAAAUAUGUGAACUUCUUGAGAGCACUACAGGAAAAUCCAAGAUCUUGGUUCGACAGGAUCAGCCGAGAGAAACCGAUGUGUCCCGCAGCGGAACUGGAGCAGGUGAUCAGAGGAUUAUUUGAAAGAUAG